GACGGAGGAUGCAAGCGUUAUCCGGAAUGAUUGGGCGUAAAGCGUCCGCAGGUGGCAGUUCAAGUCUGCUGUCAAAGACCGGGGCUUAACUUCGGAAAGGCAGUGGAAACUGAACAGCUAGAGUAUGGUAGGGGCAGAGGGAAUUCCUGGUGUAGCGGUGAAAUGCGUAGAGAUCAGGAAGAACAUCGGUGGCGAAGGCGCUCUGCUGGACCAUAACUGACACUCAGGGACGAAAGCUAGGGGAGCGAAUGGU
rnacentral:rRNA from 1 species